AGGAAUAUUGGUCAAUGGGCGAGAGCCUGAACCAGCCAAGUAGCGUGAAGGAUGACUGCCCUAUGGGUUGUAAACUUCUUUUAUAAAGGAAUAAAGUCGGGUAUGCAUACCCGUUUGCAUGUACUUUAUGAAUAAGGAUCGGCUAACUCCGUGCCAGCAGCCGCGGUAAUACGGAGGAUCCGAGCGUUAUCCGGAUUUAUUGGGUUUAAAGGGAGCGUAGAUGGAUGUUUAAGUCAGUUGUGAAAGUUUGCGGCUCAACCGUAAAAUUGCAGUUGAUACUGGAUAUCUUGAGUGCAGUUGAGGCAGGCGGAAUUCGUGGUGUAGCGGUGAAAUGCUUAGAUAUCACGAAGAACUCCGAUUGCGAAGGCAGCCUGCUAAGCUGCAACUGACAUUGAGGCUCGAAAGUGUGGGUAUCAAACAGGAUUAGAUACCCUGGUAGUCCACACGGUAAACGAUGAAUACUCGCUGUUUGCGAUAUACAGCAAGCGGCCAAGCGAAAGCGUUAAGUAUUCCACCUGGGGAGUACGCCGGCAACGGUGAAACUCAAAGGAAUUGACGGGGGCCCGCACAAGCGGAGGAACAUGUGGUUUAAUUCGAUGAUACGCGAGGAACCUUACCCGGACUUAAAUUGCAGAUGAAUUACGGUGAAAGCCGUAAGCCGCAAGGCAUCUGUGAAGGUGCUGCAUGGUUGUCGUCAGCUCGUGCCGUGAGGUGUCGGCUUAAGUGCCAUAACGAGCGCAACCCUUGUUGUCAGUUACUAACAGGUUUCGCUGAGGACUCUGACAAGACUGCCAUCGUAAGAUGUGAGGAAGGUGGGGAUGACGUCAAAUCAGCACGGCCCUUACGUCCGGGGCUACACACGUGUUACAAUGGGGGGUACAGAGGGCCGCUACCACGCGAGUGGAUGCCAAUCCCAAAAACCUCUCUCAGUUCGGACUGGAGUCUGCAACCCGACUCCACGAAGCUGGAUUCGCUAGUAAUCGCGCAUCAGCCACGGCGCGGUGAAUACGUUCCCG
rnacentral:rRNA from 1 species